UUCUACGACUAAAUUCAUCCUGGAUGCACCUGAUACCAUUGAUCUCAAAAAGCUAUGCAGGUUUGGACCUGGUCAAUACUUGGAUGGGAUGCUGCCUGGGAAUACCAAAUGUUACUGGCU
rnacentral:rRNA from 1 species